CGACGGGUGAGUAACGCGUGGAAAACCUGCCGUAUACUGGGGGAUAACACUUAGAAAUAGGUGCUAAUACCGCAUAAGCGCACAGCUUCGCAUGAAGCGGUGUGAAAAACUCUGGUGGUAUACGAUGGUUCCGCGUCUGAUUAGCUAGUUGGUGGGGUAAUGGCCUACCAAGGCAACGAUCAGUAGCUGGCCUGAGAGGGUGAACGGCCACAUUGGGACUGAGACACGGCCCAAACUCCUACGGAAGGCAGCAG
rnacentral:rRNA from 1 species